GCCGGGCCGGGCCGGGCCGGGCCGGGGCAGCGCGGAGGGGGCUGGCGCCGCCCUCGGGGCGGGCCGGCCGCCGCGGGCUCCAUAUAGGGGCGGGUGGCCCUGGCCGUGGGGGCAGCGGCGGCGGUUGCGCGGUGCUGCUGUGUUCCUCACGGGCGGGUUUCACCCCCUGCCAAGAGCGAGAGGCGGGUGCCGGCUGCUCUCCCCCUGCCCCGGCCCGGCGGCCGCAGCGGCCUUUGCCGACCGCCCUGGCCCUGGCCCUGGCCCGCGAGCGGCUCCCGGAGCUCCGCGCUUUGCCCCGGCUGCGCCCGCUGCCAUGGCGUCGGUGCCCUCCGCCGGCUGCCUCCUGGCCAAGAACCACUACUACAGGACACGGCAAAACUCAGAGUGCAGCGUUUCUUCCAGUUCAUCCURCUGUUCUGAUCCUGUGACUGUGACAGACCAGGACAAAGCACUUAAUGGGUUACCUGAAUUACUUGAUAAAUGUUGGUGGAUAAAAAGCUUUUUCCAUUGCGAAGCAUCUCCACCAACUGUUGGCAGAAAAACUCUAUCAGCAGGCAGUACCAACAGUUGAAGAAGCAAACUGGCUUUGGUUACUGAGAUACUACGUACAGGCUUGUUUUUCAAGAGGCUUGGGAUCUUCUGGCUGUCUGGGUUCAGGUGCAUGAAGAACACAUACCCCUUUAAGAGGGAGGAAAGUAUAUCCCUUUCAAAGGACUUGUUGGUACCUUACACUACAUUGCUUAAUGGACAUGACCACGGCUUAACUUGUUCACUACAGAAUUGCUAUGAUUUGAAAUGCCUCUAAUGGAAGUUACCUGGAUAAUCCUAAUGACCUACUUGGAUUGUUAGAAAAAAAUCAGUAAAAAGUAAGAUACUGUAAGUUUAGCGGAAACUUGUGUGUGGAAUGACUUUGCAAUAGGUGAUACUGUUCCAUAAGUUUUAAGGCUUAGGAUAGCUCUACAGAUGAUCACACUGAUGUAAACAAGAUCCAAAUGCAGCAGCCCUAGUCUAGACUGUGUGGUACAUGCUUUUACCAUGUAUCUGUGCACCAGUUACAGGGAAUGCAGUUAACAAGAAGGCCUGUUCAUAGCUUUGCUUUUAGGAAGCCCCAUUAUACAAAGAAGCAGUAAUUGGUUUGGUCUUUGUUCUGGCUAGGUGUAGAUCAUAACCUCAAAUACACAGGUACAAUUUUCAUUCCCAUCUAUGCAUGUUAGUAUUUGAGGAUAGAAUAGAAGAGCUGGACAAGAAAUCAAUAAUCCUAAUGGACACUGUUUUCCCAGCAGAAGAGCAAAUUUAAUCAGAGAUGAUAUGCAUAGCUCUCUUUUACUUAAGACUACUCUCACCUGCUUUGCUGCAGCUUAAAGAGCCACUUGUUCAAGUGACUAAUCCUAUUGGUAUUCACUGCUUCUAUCAGGUGUUCAAGCUGGCUUUGAGUUCAACUCAAAGUAAUAACAUUAAUGUUAUUAAUCAAAUUCACUUCUGUCAUGAUUAUCUCACUUAAAAUACCCUAACAUAUAUUCAUUUGGUCUUUAACACUGCACAUCAGUACAUCACAGCUGCACCAUACCUUAUUCUACUGGGUGGGUAUGAGUAAAAUGCACUAGAGUAGAAGAAAAUAAGUAUUUGGCUAGAUGCCUCUUCUCCUAUAUCCUUCUCUAUGCAACUUAUUUAGUGACAGCAACUCAUUGUAUUUGACCCUUUGCUCGUCACUGGAAUAAGUAACAAUAACAAACCUUAAUAUGUAAUACUUUUUUUGUUAGAUUAAUAGCUGUUGCAAUUAUGCAUAGAACUCUAGAAAGCACUGCAAGUGACUGCCUCAAAGUUCAUAGUCUUGUUAGAGAUAAUAAAUGUAUGGCACAUGAAAACA
rnacentral:lncRNA from 1 species